rnacentral:rRNA from 1 species
UGAACGCUGGCGGCGUGCUUAACACAUGCAAGUCGAACGAAGCACUUUAUUACGAUUCUUCGGAAUGACGAUUAGUGACCGAGUGGCGGACGGGUGAGUAACGCGUGGGUAACCUGCCUUAUACAGGGGGAUAACAGUUAGAAAUGACUGCUAAUACCGCAUAAGCGCACAGGAUUGCAUGAUCUGGUGUGAAAAACUCCGGUGGUAUAAGAUGGACCCGCGUCUGAUUAGCUGGUUGGUGAGGUAACGGCCCACCAAGGCGACGAUCAGUAGCCGACCUGAGAGGGUGACCGGCCACAUUGGGACUGAGACACGGCCCCAAAACUCCUACGGGAGGCAGCAGUGGGGAAUAUUGGGCAAUGGGGGGAACCCUGACCCAGCAACGCCGCGUGGAGGAAGAAGGUUUUCGGAUCGUAAACUCCUGUCCUUGGAGACGAGUAGAAGACGGUAUCCAAGGAGGAAGCCCCGGCUAACUACGUG